rnacentral:rRNA from 1 species
UACAGAGGGGGCAAGCGUUGUUCGGAAUUACUGGGCGUAAAGGGCGCGUAGGUGGCCUUCUAAGUUGAACGUGAAAUCCCUGGGCUCAACCCAGGAACUGCGUCCAAGACUGGGAGGCUUGAAUCCAGGAGAGGGAUGCGGAAUUCCAGGUGUAGCGGUGAAAUGCGUAGAUAUCAGGAGGAACACCGAUGGCGAAGGCAGGUCUCUGGGCUGAUACUGACGCUCAUGCACGAAAGCGUGGGGAGCAAACAGG